GGCAAUGCCCGCAAGGGUGACCCAGCAACGCCGCGUGGAGGAUGAAUGUCGUAAGAUUGUAAACUCCUGUUAGAGGGGAAGAAUAGUACCGGUUGGACCGGUAUAUGACUGUACCCUCAGAGAAAGCCCCGGCUAACUACGUGCCAGCAGCCGCGGUAAUACGUAGGGGGCAAGCGUUGUCCGGAUUUACUGGGUGUAAAGGGCGCGCAGGCGGGAUAAAAAGUCAGUGGUGAAAUCCUACAGCUUAACUGUAGAACUGCCUUUGAUACUUUUAUUCUUGAGUUCGGGAGAGAGAGACGGAAUUCCAGGUGUAGUGGUGAAAUACGUAGAUAUCUGGAAGAACACCAGUUGCGAAGGCGGUCUCUUGGUCCGACACUGACGCUGAGGCGCGA
rnacentral:rRNA from 1 species